rnacentral:rRNA from 1 species
UGGGGAAUAUUGGACAAUGGGGGCAACCCUGAUCCAGCCAUGCCGCGUGUGUGAAGAAGGCCUUAGGGUUGUAAAGCACUUUCAGUAGGGAGGAAAAGUUAAUGGCGAAUACCCAUUAACCCUGACGUUACCUACAGAAGAAGCACCGGCAAACUCCGUGCCAGCAGCCGCGGUAAUACGGAGGGUGCGAGCGUUAAUCGGAAUUACUGGGCGUAAAGCGCGCGUAGGCGGCCUGAUAAGUUGGAUGUGAAAGCCCCGGGCUUAACCUGGGAACUGCAUUCAAAACUGUCAGGCUAGAGUAUGGUAGAGGAUAGUGGAAUUUCAGGUGUAGCGGUGAAAUGCGUAGAGAUCUGAAGGAACAUCAGUGGCGAAGGCGGCUAUCUGGACCAAUACUGACGCUGAGGUGCGAAAGCGUGGGGAUCAAACAGGAUUAGAUACCCUGGUAGUCCACGCCGUAAACGAUGGGCACUAGGCGUCGGGGGGAGCGACCCUCUCGGUGCCGUCGCUAACGCAAUAAGUGCCCCGCCUGGGGAGUACGGCCGCAAGGCUG